rnacentral:rRNA from 1 species
CGUAGGUGGCAAGCGUUGUCCGGAUUUAUUGGGUUUAAGGGGUGCGUAGGUGGUCUUGUAAGUCAGUGGUGAAAUACGGCAGCUCAACUGUCGAGGUGCCAUUGAUACUGCAAGACUUGAGUACAGACGAGGUAGGCGGAAUUGACGGUGUAGCGGUGAAAUGCUUAGAUAUCGUCAAGAACACCGAUAGCGAAGGCAGCUUACUAGACUGUAACUGACACUGAGGCACGAAAGUGUGGGGAUCAAACAGGAUUAGAUACCCUGGUAGUCCACACUGUAAACGAUGAUUACUCGAUGUUGGCGAUACACAGCCAGCGUCUUAGCGAAAGCGAUAAGUAAUCCACCUGGGGAGUACGCCCGCAAGGGUG